UACGUAGGGGGCAAGCGUUAUCCGGAUUUACUGGGUGUAAAGGGAGCGUAGACGGUGAUGCAAGUCUGAAGUGAAAGCCCAGGGCUCAACCCUGGGACUGCUUUGGAAACUGUGUGACUAGAGUGCAGGAGAGGUAAGCGGAAUUCCUAGUGUAGCGGUGAAAUGCGUAGAUAUUAGGAGGAACAUCAGUGGCGAAGGCGGCUUACUGGGCUUUAACUGACGCUGAGGCUCGAAAGCGUGGGGAGCAA
rnacentral:rRNA from 1 species